CUGGUCUCAAAAUUCAUGGAAUUAUGAUUCUCCUUUCUCCAUAAGUAUUAAAACUAAAGUAAUUAAACUAUUAAGUAUAAUAACAUGAAGUUUGCUGCAUUUAUUCAAGCUACCAACUGUGCAACAUGCAGAUUCACAAUUUCUACUUUUGGACGCUGCCUGUUAAGUAUUGAACAUGCACAUUCGGAUCACUGAUUUAGAUUUUGUAGCAUCAGGCACAGGACACCAUAGUGAAGCCGAAUACGCUCCUUCAAGAGGUAGUUUUCCGCUGUAUUUAAC
rnacentral:lncRNA from 1 species